rnacentral:rRNA from 1 species
GAGAAGGCUAUGUUAGCCGGGCGACGGUUGUCCCGGUUUAAGCAUGUAGGCGGAGGUUCCAGGUAAAUCCGGUACCUUUUUAACGCUGAGGUGUGAUGACGAGGCACUACGGUGCUGAAGUAACAAAUGCCCUGCUUCCAGGAAAAGCCUCUAAGCAUCAGGUAACACGAAAUCGUACCCCAAACCGACACAGGUGGUCAGGUAGAGAAUACCAAGGCGCUUGAGAGAACUCGGGUGAAGGAACUAGGCAAAAUGGUGCCGUAACUUCGGGAGAAGGCACGCUGAUAUGUAGGUGAAGCCCCUGCGGGUGGAGCUGAAAUCAGUCGAAGAUACCAGCUGGCUGCAACUGUUUAUUAAAAACACAGCACUGUGCAAACACGAAAGUGGACGUAUACGGUGUGACGCCUGCCCGGUGCCGGAAGGUUAAUUGAUGGGGUUAGCGGCAACGCGAAGCUCUUGAUCGAAGCCCCGGUAAACGGCGGCCGUAACUAUAACGGUCCUAAGGUAGCGAAAUUCCUUGUCGGGUAAGUUCCGACCUGCACGAAUGGCGUAAUGAUGGCCAGGCUGUCUCCACCCCGAGACUCAGUGAAAAUUGAACUCGCUGUGAAGAUGCAGUGUACCCGCGGCAAGACGGAAAGACCCCGUGAACCUUUACUAUAGCUUGACACUGAACACUGGUCCUUGAUGUGUAGGAUAGGUGGGAGGCUUUGAAGCGUGGACGCCAGUCUGCGUGGAGCCGUCCUUGAAAUACCACCCUUUAAUGGCUGGUGUUCUAACGUAGACCCGUUACCCGGGUUGCGGACAGUGUCUGGUGGGUAGUUUGACUGGGGCGGUCUCCUCCCAAAGAGUAACGGAGGAGCACGAAGGUUAGCUAAUCCUGGUCGGACAUCAGGAGGUUAGUGCAAUGGCAUAAGCUAGCUUGACUGCGAGAGUGACGGCUCGAGCAGGUGCGAAAGCAGGUCAUAGUGAUCCGGUGGUUCUGAAUGGAAGGGCCAUCGCUCAACGGAUAAAAGGUACUCCGGGGAUAACAGGCUGAUACCGCCCAAGAGUUCAUAUCGACGGCGGUGUUUGGCACCUCGAUGUCGGCUCAUCACAUCCUGGGGCUGAAGUAGGUCCCAAGGGUAUGGCUGUUCGCCAUUUAAAAGUGGUACGCGAGCUGGGUUUAGAACGUCGUGAGACAGUUCGGUCCCUAUCUGCCGUGGGCGCUGGAGAAUUGAGGGGGGGCUGCUCCUAGUACGAGAGGACCGGAGUGGACGCAUCACUGGUGUUCGGGUUGUCAUGCCAAUGGCACUGCCCGGUAGCUAAAUGCGGAAGAGAUAAGUGCUGAAAGCAUCUAAGCACGAAACUUGCCCCCGAGAUGAGUUCUCCCCUGACUCUUUAAGDGUCCUGAAGGAACGUUGAAGACGACGACGUUGAUAGGUCGGGGUGUGUAAGCGCAGCGAUGCGUUGAGCUAACCGAUACUAAUGAACCGUGAGGCUUAACCUUACAACGCCGAAG